rnacentral:rRNA from 1 species
UACGUAGGGCGCAAGCGUUGUCCGGAAUUAUUGGGCGUAAAGAGCUCGUAGGCGGCCUGUUGCGUCCGCUGUGAAAUCCCGGGGCUCAACCCCGGGCGUGCAGUGGAUACGGGCUGGCUGGAGGCAGGCAGGGGAGAACGGAAUUCCUGGCGUAGCGGUGAAAUGCGCAGAUAUCAGGAGGAACACCGGUGGCGAAGGCGGUUCUCUGGGCCAUUACUGACGCUGAGGAGCGAAAGCGUGGGGAGCGAACAGG